CUUUGCAUUGCUCCACAGUGGAAAGGAAAAGGACUGUAAGAUGUCGAAGGAGCUCUGUUGCAGACAUGUAAGGAACACAGUCACCAGCAUGGUUGCAAUCCUCCGUGCUAGUCCCAUGCACUGUAAAAUGUAAUUCUAGAUGUUUGUUAUUUCAACAUAUUAUUCUAUAUCAGUUUGACGAUAGAUGACUGAAGUUGUUGUUAUAACAUAGAAUUACAAGUUAAAAACGUCCCAAUUACACCAAAAAAAGCUAACUUGAAAACUCAUGUCCAGCUAAAUCAGCAACUUAUGUGAACUUGACAAUGUGGGUAAGUUGAGCACAGCAGGAUUCAAAACUGCCUCACGUGACUGCUACCGAGGUGCAUCAUGGGGAAUUGGCGGUUAACGACAUGCUCACUUUACUUGGACGUUUUCUAAUCGUCUUCUUUGGAAUAUGCUUUCAAGGUCUGUGAAGCCAAACUUGAUGCUGGGGAUUUAUUUUUGUCAGUGGAGUCAAAUGGUUGAAGCAGAAUUUGCCCGUCUUACAUCUGUUGACCUGAAAGGGUUCCUUUUUGCUGUGCUUGACCAUUAUGGAGAGGUUCGUGGAGCUGUACAAAAUCAAGAGCGGCAUAGAAGGGCUAACUAGGCUCAUAAGAUGCUUCGGAGAUGAUAGCCCUACACAAAGGAAGAGGACAGAGGACCUCAUUUUCUAAAGGAAGAUCCUCA
ensembl:lncRNA